rnacentral:rRNA from 1 species
CAGUAGCCACGGUAAUACGGAGGGUGCAAGCGUUAAUCGGAAUUACUGGGCGUAAAGCGCACGCAGGCGGUCUGACAAGUCAGAUGUGAAAUCCCCGGGCUUAACCUGGGAACUGCAUUUGAAACUGUCAGGCUGGAGUCUUGUAGAGGGGGGUGGAAUUCCAGGUGUAGCGGUGAAAUGCGUAGAGAUCUGGAGGAAUACCGGUGGCGAAGGCGGCCCCCUGGACAAAGACUGACGCUCAGGUGCGAAAGCGUGGGGAGCAAACAGGAUUAGAUACCCCUGUAGUCCUGUCUCUUAUACA